GGGCCUCGCCCACUGCCCGCGGUGCCUGUGACUCAGCUUGCAGACCGGUGGAGGGCCAUCGCCCCACCCCGGUCCUUUGUCUUCCUCACUGGCUUUCUCAAUUUGGGUGGGAGGUAUGCACCCUGGGUGAUUAAAAAAAAAAGUUUCAUUACUGUAACAUCCAUAUUUUUUUCAACAACAUAGUUUUGUGACCACUCAAGUCAAACAACGGUAAUAUUUGCUGGCGUAGAGCAAUUUUUUCUGCCGUUUGUAGAGCACAACGCCUCCCCCUUAGAAAAAUCAGUCGAGUUGGAGCUCUACUCUAGCCUUGCUGCUUGACAAUCAGGAAGUUCUCUUACUUUUCUGUUCCUUAUUUUCCUAAAUUUUGAAAGUGGUCGCUAAGGAGGCCUGUGUUGGAUCCCAAAGACGUGAGGUUCCCUUAUCCAGAAAAUCUGAAGAUGGUAUUAAAAAUUCAAACCCUGUGUACGUUUUUCAGCCCUAGGGUUUUGAAACGCUCUUGUAAAUUACAUCGGAAAUAUUCACCGCGGAAGAUGUGGGUGGAGAGAGGAGCAGUUUUCAAAAUGGCACCUGAUUUUCUGAGUACGAGUGACCCAUUUGUGCUGAAAAUUAGUUGCAAAUACCAUGCUAGUGCUUGCGAACUGCAUGUGAAGGGAAAAAGACCUGCUGGUUCUAGAAAGGCCUAGUUGGGAUUAUUUCUAAGGGAGUGUUCGAAAUAGUCCCCCUUUUCUGUGUCCCAGGGAAGUGCUGUCUGAAACCCCCUGGUAAUCAUGCAUUGGGAAGAGGCCUUUGUCGCACUGGGGAGUAAACUGUCAUAUGCAGGCUGAAACAGCACUGCCAGCAGCUUGGACUUCCCCAUUUCUGCACCUCCCUGACUUCCCUCUUCCUAGGGAGAAAGGGGGAGGGGGUGGGCAGGGGCAGGUGACCGUCUGGUUCCCCAGUUAAUGCUCUGCUGGAUGGCUGCCACCCUGCUGUCCAAAUGGGGACACUGGGCCUUUUCCUGCACCAGAUGUCACCUCUCUGGUGCCAUGUCCCCUGAGCCUGCUCUCCGCUGACACGCCUGGGAGUCCACUUCACCAUCCAAACGCAGACUAGAUCUUGCAGGGGGAUUUUUCCGCGGGUUUCAGCUGGCAGCUGCGGUUGUUACCAACCCCAUUUCUGUAGUUCCUGGGAUUCCAUUUCUCGGCACUCAGCUGCUGUCGAAAAUUCCGUCCGACCUCCCUGAUGUCUCCCCGAUUACAAAGAAUGCCACUACCACCUCGUGGCCUGUUUUCCCAAGGGCUGCCCUGAAGCAGGAUUAGACCUUACAGAAACAGUGUCUCCGAAGGACAGGGAAAAGCCGACAUUUUUUGAAUGUCUGGAGGAUUUUUCUCAACUGGUAACAAGCAGCCUUCCUGCCUCUGGGUUUAGGAUCUCAAAGAAAUAGGACAGAUGGAGAGAUGGGAGGAGAAGAGAGAGAGGGAGAGAGAGGCAGCUGGCUGAAAGCAAGAGAAAAGCCUCUACCAUAAUUGAACUGGACUUGCCAACUGGUCAGCUGACCCAGACAGAAUGAAGAGGAAAGGGUGAGGCAAGAUGAGAGGAAAGGAGAAAGGAGUAUUCUUAAAAGUGUGUGACCUUGUCAAAUUCAUUCAUCUUUCUGUGUCUCCAUUUUCUCAUCUGUAAAAUGGGGUCAUUGCAGUACCUAUCCCACAGGGUUGUUGGGAGGGUUGAGUGCUUAGGACAGUGUGUGACACUUAGUAAACACUUCAUAUUGUUCUUACCAUUAUUACUAUUAACUACUACUAUUAGUAUUAUUUGGGAUCAAAGGUUGAGAAAAAAUAAUGAAAUGAAAAAUGUUUUAGGGUUUGGAAUUAAUUUAAGAUGUUUUUAUAUUAUUGCUUUCUCUUAUAAAAUGCUGGUAGGAUAAGAUCGUUUAUUCACUCUACAGCAAAUAGAGUUUUCAAUGACUGAUUUUUGGGAAGCAGAUUGCCAGGCUUUUCUUCCAAGGUGCCUCUGGGUGGGCUUGAACCUCCAACCUUUCAGUUAGCAGCUGAUUGCAUUAACCAUUUGCACUACGCAGGGACUCCAGAAUUACCAUGUUGUUGCCUUUUGCCUCUGAGUCAAUUCCGACUCAUAGGGACCCCGUGUGUUACAGAGUAGAACUGCCCCAUAGCUCUUUUCUUCCGUAUUGCUGCUGGGUGGGUUUGAACCACCAACCUUUUGGUUACCAGCCGAGCACAGACUGCGCCACCCAGGAACCUUCAGAAUUUCCAUACCAAAAAAACCAAACAAACCUGUUGCUAUCGAGUUGAUUCCGACUCAUAGUGACCCUACAGGACAGAAUAGAACUGCCCCAUACAGUUCCCAAGGAGCGCCUGGUGGAUUCGAACUACUGGCCUUUUGGUUAGCAGUUGCAGCUCUUAACCACUGGGCCACCAGGGUUUCCAAAUUACCAUAUUACCCAGCAGUUCCACCCCUAGGUAUAUAUACCCAGAAGAAUUGAGAACAGGAACUCAAACAGAUGCUUGUCAUGAAUGUUCACAGCAGCGUUAUUCACAAUAGCCAUACAUUGUAAACAACCUAAAGACUCAUCAACGGAUGAAUGGAUAAACAAAAUGUGGUAUAUACGUGAAAUGGAAUGCUAUUCAGCCAUAAAAAGGAAUAAGAUACUGAUACACGCUACAACAUGGAUGAACCUUGAAAUCAUUAGGCCAAGUGGAAAAAACAAGACACAAAAAGCCACAUAUUGUGUGAUUCCAUGUAUAUGAAAUGUCCAGAAGAGGCAAAUCCACAGAGACAGAAAGCAGUUUAGUGGUUGCCAGGAGCUGGGGGAGGGGAGAAUGGGAGUGACUGCCAAUGGCUACAGUGUUUCCUUUUGGGAUGAUGAAUGUUCUGGAAUUAGACAGAGGCAGUAAUUUCACAACAUUGUGAAUGCACAUGGAACUGUGUACUUCGAAAUGGCUAACUUUAUGUUAUGUGAAUUUCACCUCAAUAACAAUAAUGCAAAAAAACAAAAACUAAAACUAAAAAAGAACUCAUAGCCCCAUUUCCCACGCCCCAGGGUAGGGUUAUGAGGAGAUGGAAGGGGAGUCAAAGGUGAAGUGAGAGUCAGGGGUUCUUAACCCUUUGUGUGCCUUGGCCUCCUUUGGCAGUGUGAUGAGCCUUCUCAAAAAAAAAAAAACUUUUUUUUUUCUUCUCAGAAUUACAGAAACGCAUGAAAUAAAAAACUUGGGCUCUCAAAUGCAAUCAUUGAGGUUUACGUAUAUCUAUCAAAAGGCUUUUAGAAAUUGUGAUGUAGUAAUAUACGUGCUUCUUUAUGCAUGAAAUUAUGCAAUCUAUUUUUUAUUAGUAGGCCUCAUAUCCACCAUAAAUUCACAAUUGUGAUGAACGUUUAGUCAUCUGCAGAAGUGCUAAUGGACAUAAAAAUAUCUGUAAUUUCUCUUGUUGACCAAAUCCUAGGAACUGCUAAUAUCACAAAGGUUCCUUGCAUACUUGAAGGAAUGCUAACAUUCAGUUAAAGGUUAAUGAAAAUAAAGAUGUAAUUUCCCCCCUUUUUUUUUUAUGUUCAUGGACUCCCUGGAUUCUAUCCAAAGAUCUCUUGGGUGUCUGUGGACUAAGGGAGAGAUCCCUUGAACUAGAGAAAGUCACCAACGAGGUUUCUCAGAGAGAAAUGGAAGAGAUGGAGUGGAUAUCAAUGAACAGAAUAAACCACUGAAUAAGUCUGAAACUACUGAAUGUGUUUGAAAUUUAAUUUACCCUUGAACUCUGCUUGUUCUCUGUGUGGCCUAUAUUCCACAGUCUAUUUUAUACCAGCAGCUUACCUAAAAGAGUUUAGGUGCCAGCAAAUUGGAUGUCAGGUGCAGGGGGCGGAAGACCAGCUUAUAGGUGUCACCUUACAUUUUGUGGUUUAGUAAUUGCUUAUGUAAUACAACUCAUAUUUAUCUGGUGUUUGUGAACAAAGCAUUUUCUCAUCUUUUAUAUCAUUUUGUCCUUAAAGCACCCUUAUGUAAAUAAUAAAAGGGCUAAAUGGUUGCUGUAUUGUGGUGGCUUGUGUGUUGCUAUGAUGCUGAAAGCUAUGCCACUGGUAUUUCAAAUACUAGCAGGGUUGCCCAUGGUGGGCAGGUUUCAGCAGAGCUUCCAGACUAGGACAGACUAGGAAGAAAGGCCUGGAGGUCUACUUCCAAAAAAAAAAGGGUUUCCUUCCAAAAAUUAGCCCAUGAAAACCCUGUGGAUCACAACAGAGCAUAGUCUGAUAGAGUGCUGGAAGAUGAGCCCCCUAGGUUGGAGGGCACUCAAAAUCCACAGUGGUCCUAACAAUGGACUUAAGCAUCCCGAUGACGGUGAAGGUAGUGCAGGGCCGGGCAGCAUUUUGUGCUUUUGUGUACAGAGUUGCCCUGAGUCAGAGGUGAGUCCAGGGCAACUAACAACAACGGUAGCAUCAAUAUUUUGCAGUGUGUGAAACUCAAGGCAGAAGGGUUAAGUGGCCUGCCCAGGGUGAAUCAGCUGGUGAGCAGAGCCAAGGCCACAGACCAAAACUCCUCACUUUCAAGGACUUUCAAGGACCAUGGGCCCCAUCGUCCUUGACGCACGAUUUUAGGUGCUGGAGCCCAGGGAGUCAACACCCGUCAACACCCCCAGAAGGAACAUUAAGUAUCAAGGAUGAGAAGGCCAUCACUUGCAGUGGGAAUAAGAGCUACUGGGAAUUGAGUUGAUUGUGGGUCAUUGCUUGGCACCUCCUGUGUACUUUCUACAUGUCAAUUAGGUGAAAGAGAUCUAAAUGUUAUGCUAAGGAGAAUUUGGAAAAACAAACUAAAUUAUUACCAUCCUGUGUUCCAGAAUCCCAAAACUGCCAUGCGAGAGAGAUGGGGCAUGAUGGUGGGUAAAAAGGAAUAGAAGGAACGAAGCACUUUGUCAGGAGAGAGGUGCAAUUUUUCUUUUGUUUUCAAUUCCUGCAACUUUAAGGUUUCAUUUCCUUUAUUUACUAGGAUCCAUUUAUUAGUUUGUAAUUUGCACCGUGCUUGGCGUCACCAGAAUGUUUUAAACUUUUCAUUGUGGGGUCAUGUCAAGCUUACUGAAAAGUUACAAAAAUAUAAUGAAGAGCUCCUGUAUACCCUGAACCCAGAUUCACCAGUUGUUAAUAUUUUGCCACGUUUGCUUUGUCAUGGGAGUCCCUGGAUGGUGCAAACGAUUAAGCGCUGGGCUACGAACUGAAAGUUUGGCUGUUUGAACCCACCCGGAGGUGCCUCAGAGGAAAGGCCUGGCAAUUUGCUUCCAAAAGGUCACAGCCUUGAAAACCCUAUAGAGCCAUUCUACUCUGCACACCUGGUGUAGCCAUGAGUCAGAAUCGACUGGACGGCAACCAACAAGAACAACUGGCAUAAAUAAUAGACAGCAGCUAUCGGCUUAUUUGGAGCCUUGGUGGCACAGUGGUUAAGAGUUAUGGCUGCUGACCAAAAUGUCGGCAGUUCGAAUCCACCAGCUGCUCCUUGGAAACCCUAUGGGACAGUUCUACUCUGUUCUAUAGGGUCACUAUGAGUUGAAAUCAACUCGACAGCAACAAGUUUUAUCAGCUUAUUUAUCACCCAAGUACUUUAGUGCUCAUUUACCAGGAACAAGGGUUUUCUCCAACACAGCCACAGUGCAAUUAUCAGUACAGCAAAUCCUAUGUUGCUGCCAUACUGUUUCUGGUCCAGGUUCCAAUCCAGGAUCAUGUAUUGCAUUGAGUUGUCAGGUCCCAUUUGUGCGUUUUAAUUUAAAACUUGCUCAGCCUCUCUUGAUCUUCCACGACACUAACAUUUCUGAAGAAGAUAGGCCAGUUUUGGGUUUUUUUUGUAGAAUUUCCUUCAACUUGGAUUUGACUGAUGUUUCUUCGUGAUUAGAUUUGGGCUUCGCCUUUUGGGCAGGACUACUACCCAAGGGAGGCUGUGGCCUUCUCAGUAGCUCACACUAGAAGGCACGUGAUGUCAGUUUGUCUCAUUAUUGCAGAUUUCCACUUUGGUCGCUUGAUUAAGGUGUUAUCUGUCAGUGUCUCCCCUGAAAAGGGACUAUUUUUUGAUGUAUGUCUAUUCCCUGCAUGGAGUGAGUUUUUCAGCUGUCUUCACAGAAGGCUUCUAGCUCAGCUGUGGUGGCAUUAAUUGUAACCUCAACAGACGUGAAUUACUCCCCCUACUGUGCACAAACCCAAGUGUGAUUCCAAGUGGUAUUGCAGGACACAGAGAAGUAGAUCGCCAGACCUUUCUUCCUAGUCUGUCUUAGUUUUGAAGCUGUCCUGAAACCUAUCUACCAUGGGUAACCCCGUUGGUAUUUGAAAUACCAGUAGCAUAGCCUCCAGCAUCAUAGCAACAUACAAGCCACCACAGGACAGCAAACUGACAGAUGGGUGGCAACAAUGGAGUCAAACAUACCAAUGAGCGUGAAGAUGAUGCAGGACUAGGUAAUGUUUUGUUCUGUUAUACAGAAGGUCGCCAUGUGUAGAAGCCAACUUGAUGGCAACUAACAACAACUGGUUAAGUGCUCAACUGCUAACCAAAAGCUCGGCAGUUCAAACCCGCCAGUGGCUCUGCAGGAGAAAACCCCUGGCGAUCUGCUCCCGUAAAGAUUACAGCCUAGGAAACUGUGGGGCAGUUCUACUCUGUCGUAUAGGGUGGCCAUGAGUUGUAACUGACCCGACGGCACACAACAACAGUAACAACAAUAACAACAUUUAAACAUACAUAUACAGUGUAACCUGAGAAAGCUGAAAACUGUGUAAGGCAGAAACCUAUCAGAGAAGGAAAACUCGGAUAUUUUCCGCUGAAAUGAGCAAUAGAAAAGUAGUAAGACUGCACCCUGUCAAAGGCAGAAAACUUUGCAGAUCUGGGAAAACAGGCAGUUCCACCGAGUUCUGGCCCUCACAGAUUUCACUGUACAUAUUCACAUACACAAACAGAAACAUAUACAUAUAGAUCUUUUUCCCCAUAGCAUUGUAAGUAAGAACAAAAACUAGACUCAACCUUAGUGUAUAUUAUUAGAAGACUAGUUAAGUACACAAUAGACUACCCAAACAAUGGAAAACUAUUCAGCCAUCAGAGAAAGACUGAGGCAGUUCUAUUUUUAAAAAAUCUAUGUUGCAAUUGUUAUUGAGAAUAUACACAGCAAAACACACACCAGUUCAACAAUUUCCACGUGUACAAUUCAUCGACAUGGAUUACGUUCUCACAUUGUUCCUCCCCCGUUAACAUAAGCUCACUGCCCUCUAAGGUCCCUAUCUAAUCUUUUGAGUUGCUGUCGUCAUUUUGAUCCUGUGUAGAUAGUUCUUACAAGAGCACAAUGCUCCAGGCAGACAUUUUUUACUAGUUAAGAUGGACUUGUUUGGUUUUAAGAAAACUUCAGGGGAUAUUUUUGGUUUAAGGUUUAAAGAUUCUCUCAGGGCAAUAGUUUCAGGGAUUCAUCCAGCCUCCAUGGCUGCAGAGAGUCUGGAGUCCCUGAGAAUUUGAAAUUCUGUUCUGCAUAGAAUCUUUGAUCAAAAUGCUUGUUCAGCAAUGGUACUGAGGCAGAUUAUUCAUGAUGCUAUAGAAGGAUGUCCAAAAUAUACUCUGAUGCGAAAGAAAAGACCUCAUAAAUAUUGUAUGAUCCUCUCUGUGUUAAAAAAAAAAUGGGUGUAUAAAAACAAUUUCCAGAAGGGAGUUUAAAGAACUAUUAACAGAAGUUACCUCUGGGAAGGGGGAUAGAGAAUCCUCUAGCAUUUAUACUUUCACCAGAAGCGUGUAUUACUUUUAUAUUUCUAAAUAUUUUAAGUAUUAUUUUCUGUUUUGUUUUACUUUUUUAUAUAAUAUUUUCUUGUGCUUUUGGUGAAAGUUUACACAACAAAUUAGGUUCCCAUUUAACAAUUUCUAUACAUAUUGUUCAGUGACAUCGGUUACAUUUUCCACAAUGUUUCAGCAUUCUCAUUAUUUCCAUUCUGGUUGUUCCAUUUCCAUUAAUCUAGCUUCCCUGCCCCCCCCCCUUUAUCUUCUCAUCUUUGCUUUAGGGUAAAUGCUGACCGUUCGGUCUCAUAUGGAUGAUUUUUUAAAGGACCACAGCACUCAUGGGUGAUACUGUUUAUGAGCCAUUCUAUCUGGGAGUUUUGUUUUACUUUAUCUUUUUCUAUAUUAGUUUUUUAUUUUCCUGCCCAAGAAACUUCACAAAACCAACACAAAGGCAGUUGAGUAUGCCUUUGAAGGAAAUAGAUUCUGACUGUGGGCUUGGGGUUUCUUUAGUAAGAAAACACCUUUGAAAGGAAGUGAAACACACAGCCAAGAAGAAUGAGGGUGACUUCCUGUUUAACUGCAAUUGUAGGAACUUGUGUUCUUAAAGGGGCAGAAGGACCAUUACUUUCAAGUCUAUGGCUAUUGUAAUCCUCAGUCAAAAUGACGUGGACAGAUCUGCAGCAGGCUGCUGUUCUAGAGCCCAACUGAAGCACCCAAGUUUGGUCAGUCGACCCACAGCAGGCCCAGUUAUGAGCCAUCCUUCAUCAGAGCAGCUCUACUCCGGAUGGUUUCCCAUCAAAUGUGAGCACAACAUCACACUUUGGUGAAUCGAAUCAUAUUUUCAAUGAAGUAGGAAAGCUGCUCCGGGAAUCAUAUAGUGACGCCUUUUAUAAGCUCAAUCUUGACUCCCGACAGCCCUGUGAGGGUGGAUAGGGCAGCCGACACCCCAUCUGUACAUGAAAAAAUGAGGCCUGCGGUAAGUGACUUGCCCAAGGUCUCAGGGCAGGUAGCAAGGGCUGAGCUGGGUCCCAAGCCUGGCAGCCUGGCUUCUGGCCUGGUGCCCUGGCAGGGGAGGAGCUGUGCUUUCCUGGCAUUUCAUCAUCCACCCUUCUGGCAUUUAAGUGGAAGUAACUUUCCACUGACUUCUCCUAGGCCUCCCUCUCGGUCAAGUGCCAGUGGAGCCCCGAAGUGGGGGUUCUGAGAAGGGAGGGAUCCGUGUGGGUCGUGGAUGAGGGAAGUCUGGAAAAGUAGGUGAGGUUGGUGGGGGGCGGGGGAGGCAGGGAUGCCAUCUAGCCUCCCUAUUAGCCGGCUCAUAGUUAACUCUCCUUGGCUACUUUGUGUGGUUUUAGAGGCUGGGGGGUGAAAGGAGCCACACAGAGAAGGUGUGUGUAUGGCGGGGAGGGGGAAAUAGAGCAUAUUCAUAGCCCCCCUUCCCUCUCAUGUCUGCCAGCUGCCCAGUUCCCACACAAAUGAUUGGAUCAUCAGUUCCACGGAAGUCAGCGGAGAAGCCUCUCCCACCUACUGUACAAUCAUGUUAGUACUGCUGGCAUUGGCAGGGAUGUUGAUGCCCCUGGUGAAGGGGAAUUCUGUCCCCCCCAGAGUGCCAGGUAGGGACGGAAAUGCAUGCUGUGUUCUCUGCCCUUCCCCACCAUCCUCAUCACACUCCAAGGUAGACUGGCCAGACUCAGCCAACAAAAAUGCAGGAGGCCUAGUUAAAUGUGAAUUUCAGAUAAAUAAUGAAUACCUUUUUUUUGUAUAUCUCACACAAUAUUUAGGAUAUACAUAUACUAAAAAAAUGUUCUUCAUUAUUUAUCUGAAAUUUGAAUUUAACUGGGCAUCCUGUAUCUUACCUACCCUAC